rnacentral:lncRNA from 12 species
CCUAAGUUGAAAAUGUGGUAGCUCUGCAAGCAUAGCCUUUAAGAAAAGUCAGUACCUUUGCGCUCCCUUCUAAGCACAUUAACUCGCAAACCCUUCCAAUGUUUUUCAUUUAGUGAUACCUUCAGCAAAUAUUCAUCGACCAUGAGACAAGCCCUGUUCUAGAGACUGGAAAUAGCACAGUUAAAAAAAAAAAUCUCUGUAUUCUUUGGAACACUUACAUCAUAAUACACCAGAAUCCCAGAGUUAGCAGUACCUGCAACUGCCCUCUUCUCUGCCACAGAGCAGUCCUCUCUACACAAGCAAAAGUAGCAUUUUCAUGGCAGAGAGCAUCAGACUCAUUGAGUAGCAGGUACUUAUGGAUCAGGAGGAUUGUGACAGCCCGCCAUGGUACUUUUAGGCUGGGCACAGAACCUUCCAAAGACUAUACUUUCAUCUCCCAGGGAUCUGGAUCAGUGGGAAGGGGUGAGUGAAAAGGACAAAAAAAAGUGGCUUCAGAUCCAACGACACAGCUUAGGAUGGAAAAAUAAAAAGGGGAAAAGAGACA